UACGGAGGGGGCUAGCGUUGUUCGGAAUUACUGGGCGUAAAGCGCACGUAGGCGGCUUUGUAAGUUAGAGGUGAAAGCCCGGGGCUCAACUCCGGAACUGCCUUUAAGACUGCAUCGCUUGAAUCAUGGAGAGGUUAGUGGAAUUCCGAGUGUAGAGGUGAAAUUCGUAGAUAUUCGGAAGAACACCAGUGGCGAAGGCGACUAACUGGACAUGUAUUGACGCUGGAGGUGGACGAAAAGCGGUGGGGAGCAAACAGG
rnacentral:rRNA from 1 species